rnacentral:pre_miRNA from 1 species
GUGGUACUCCCUCCGUCCGAAAAUACUUGUCAUCAAAAUGGACAAAAAAGGAUGUAUCUAGAACUAAAAUACAUCUAGAUACAUCCCCUUUUAUUCAUUUUGAUGAUAAGUAUUUCCGGACGGAGGGAGUAUAUG